rnacentral:sRNA from 1 species
AAUGGUUUCCAUGUCAGCGGAUAAACGCUCUCCCCUGGGCUCCCGGACGCGACGGAGGUCGUAGUAGUAGUGAGUACGUGCUGAGGAGCAAAGGAGUAACCAAGAGAUCCAGUGACCGACAGAGCAAGAGCCAUGUCGCGCCGGGGCCUGGUGGCUGGGCCAGACUUGGAGUAUUUUCAGCGUCGCUAUUUCACGCCGGCGGAGGUGGCCCAACAUAACAGGCCCGAAGACCUCUGGGUAUCUUACCUGGGACGCGUGUACGACCUAACGUCAUUGGCACAGGCAUACAAGGGGAACCUGCUGCUGAAACCCAUCGUGGAAGUUGCAGGCCAGGAUAUCAGCCACUGGUUUGAUCCAAAGACCAGAGACGUGAGUUAUACUGGAAUCUGGGAUUGUGGGUAGAGGCAAUGGAGAGCGGGGAUGGGAAGGAAAGGCGGAGGCUAGCCAGAGCCUAAUGACUGCUCUGACCCCAAACCCUCCUUUAAAGAUCCGCAAGCACAUAGAUCCGCUGACCGGCUGCCUGAGGUACUGCACCCCGCGGGGCCGCUUUGUGCACGUUCCGCCUCAGCUG